rnacentral:rRNA from 1 species
UACGAAGGUCCCGAGCGUUAUCCGGAUUUAUUGGGUUUAAAGGGUGCGUAGGCGGAUUAUUAAGUCAGUGGUGAAAGCCUUCAGCUCAACUGAAGAAUUGCCAUUGAUACUGAUGAUCUUGAGUACGAUUGAGGUAGGCGGAAUGUGUCAUGUAGCGGUGAAAUGCUUAGAUAUGACACAGAACACCGAUUGCGAAGGCAGCUUACUAAGUCGUAACUGACACUGAGGGACGAAAGCUAGGGGAGCGAAUGGG